GUGGUGUUUUUAAGGCUUAUCUCAUUUUCCCAAAAGAUUAUCCCCUCCGGCCUCCUAAAAUGAAAUUCAUUACAGAGAUUUGGCCCCCAAAUGUUGAUAAAAAUGGUGAUGUUUUGCAUUUCUAUUCUUCAUGAGCCUGGGGAGGAUAAAUAUGGUUAUGAGAAGCCAGAGGAACGCUGGUUACCUAUCCAUACUGUGGAAACCAUCAUGAUUAAUGUCAUUUCUAUGCUGGCAGAUCCUAAUGGAGACUCACCUCCAAAUGUAGAUGCUGCGGUAAGGCAAGCUUCCUCUGAUUUGGAACAAAAUAAAAACAGGCUGGUCUUCCCUUGUACCUGACACAGGCAAAUUGAGCUGGCCCAGACAGCAGAGCUCUGUAAGGCAUGUUGAUAUUGAUUGCUUCUUUGUCUCAGGGGCUAUAAGAAAUAUAACAGAUCUCAAAGGAAAAACAGUGGCUCUGUCAGCAACCAUGGCACAGGAAGGUCACCUUUUCUUCGUGGUGCUAACAUCCAAUUGGAGUGGCAGUAUUACCAAAAUAAAAUCCUGAAAGGAGAAGCAGGGAACUCUCUAGAUCAGUAGAGCCUCCUUACAAGUCACCACAUGUAAAUUGGAUUUACAUCCCUAUCAUCUAGAGGAUAGCAAGCACAGAGAACAGCAAAGACAAAAAAGAAAGGACAAAGAACUCAGAGGGUGACACAUUAAUCACUUUGGGUCAUUUUUUUCCUGUUUUACCUUGACUCUGACUUCUAACAAAAAGAGAACAUCAAGAAGAAGAAAAUGAGAAAGAAAAUGAAAGAAACAAACGUCUUUGGAGCCCUGGUGUUGUCGUCGAGUCAAAUUUUUAAAAGACAGAGAGGAGUUGUGAAAAUCAGCUUGCUUAGUGGAAGUCCACAGUGUUAUAUAAUCAGUACCAUUGUGCUUUAUCUUACAGAAAGUUAAACAUGGCCUGUGGUCACACAGUUACUAAAGAAUUGAACUGUAACCUACAAUUCUCUCUCUCUCUCUCUCUCUCUCUCUCUCUCUCUCUCUCUCUCUCUCUCUCUCUCUCUCUCUC